rnacentral:rRNA from 1 species
CACGUAGGGGCGAGCGUUGUCCGGAAUUACUGGGCGUAAAGGGCGCGCAGGCUGUUAUGCGAGUCUGCUGUGAAAUGUACCGGCUCAACCGGUGCCUUGCGGCGGAUACUGCAUAGCUGGAGUACUGGAGAGGGAAGUGGAAUUCCCGGUGUAGCGGUGAAAUGCUUAGAGAUCACACAGAACACCGAUUGCGAAGGCAGCUCACAAAGCCACAUCUGACGCUGAGGCACGAAAGCGUGGGGAGCAAA